AAGCAUCUUCGGAUGUGUAUAAAGUGGCGAACGGCUGAGUAACACGUGGGCAACCUGCCCUUUGCACUGGGAUAGCCUCGGGAAACCGAGGUUAAUACCGGAUACUCCAUAUUUGUCGCAUGGCGAAUAUGGGAAAGCUCCGGCGGCAAAGGAUGGGCCCGCGGCCUGUUAGCUAGUUGGUGGGGUAGUGGCCUACCAAGGCAAUGAUGGGUAGCCGGGUUGAGAGACCGACCGGCCAGAUUGGGACUGAGACACGGCCCAGACUCCUACGGGAGGUAGCAGUGGGGAAUCUUGCACAAUGGGCGAAAGCCUGAUGCAGCGACGCCGCGUGCGGGAUGAAGGCCUUCGGGUUGUAAACCGCUUUCAGCAGGGACGAGGCCGCAAGGUGACGGUACC
rnacentral:rRNA from 1 species